rnacentral:lncRNA from 1 species
CUUGUGCCACGGUGGCCCAAAUGUCAGUCAACCAGACAUGUCUUCUGAGAGGUAAGUUUUUGAAAAAUACUAGACUUUUCUCAAAUGUAUUUCUUUACAGGAAUAAAAAGAAAGCUAAUUUUGCAUGAGCAUGCAGGAAGUCUGCAGACAGACAUUCUACAUAGUCCCUUGGGGACUCAGUAGAAGUGGAAUCAAGACCAACCCAAGCCCAACAAGGCAGCUCCGCUGGUUAAUGCCUCCCAGAUCUGUCAUCUGUGAUAAAGAGCCUCGCUGUAGCUGAGGAGCUGGCCAAGAACCUUUCCCAGUUAGCCAAGUUCGUGAAGAAGUCACAUGUGGUGAAUAUAUUAUCAUCAGAAUGCGGAGCAAUGAAAUGUAAACAGAUAGGAAUCGUCACUAAAGCUCCAACUGCAGCCUCCGGGUGCCAUAGCUUUUGCACCAUCCAUUUGCACCAUCUCUGCAGUAAGUCCUAGCUCAAGCCUUACUCCAAAGUACAAAUUAGCAUAGCAGCUCAGUCAACAAUGCCUCCGAGCUUCUGGAAAGAAAGAUGCUCAGUCACCAUAGACCCAGAAUUAAUGAAAAGUCACAGAAAUAAUAGCUCCAUUCUCUACUUGCUUCUGAACCUCAAAUCAGUGGUUGGCAACAAGUUGCUCUCAAUCACUGCCACGAGUCUGGUGAUGCGCUAAGCUCGGGGCAGGAUCUCAAGGGCUUUGAGGAUGUCUGCAUCAUCUGUAUUGACCUGCUCCCCAGAUUAAUACCGAAGCACUGCAAUUUCUUGAGGAUUAUCCACCUAGGAGGAAAUGAUACGCUGGCCCAUCCAUAGUAGUCAAGGGAACCACCAUCUCAGAUGGUAGAAACCACUCAGAAGGAUCAACUGCUGCAGACGGGAAGAGGAGCAACCUCGUGAAUAAUUUCGUGACAGGAUAUUGCAGGAGGGACUUUGUCCAAAUGUGUGCAGGGUAGUUGGCUACAGCAACAAGGAUGACGAACACAGAUGAAUUGAUCAGGAUGUAACCAUUCAAAGUUGAGAGGAUUAGAGGACUUCUCCGAGGCGGCUCCAAUGGAUGCCAGCAGAGUUAAAGUGUCCAAUGGAGAGAAGAGAAGGCUUGGGAAAUCCAGAGUCCAUUCAUUCAUCGCCCUCCUCCUAGAACAACAAAAGCGAGCCCCAGUACUCAUCAGCAUGGACUCUGUGUGUAGUCAUCUCCCUUAGUUUCAGAGGUUCCUGCCUACAGCAAAACUUUAGAGGCUUAGAGUUUAACGGUCAUAGCUUAUUCACCUCCAACUGUGUCCUAGUUCAAGAGAAACACUUCACAUAUCUGUAGGGAGAAGAUAAUGAACCAAGGAUACAAGUUAAGCCUUAGCUAAGACCUGUUACUCAGGAAAAAGAGCUAAAACAAGCUGCUUAGAUCAGCACCAAUGUUAGGUAGAGAGAAAAAGAAACGCUGCAUAGAAAUCUUAAGGUUCACAUGUGCUCCAGGCUGGGUCAACAACUUCUAAUUUCCUUUGCCAACCAACCAUGUCUUUGACAGAAAUGAUCCUUCUACAUAGACCACAGAGGGAUCCAAUGGAGGUUUCUCUUCCUGAAUUUGGGGAUUCAGAAUCUGGACAAAUUCCUUUCCAUCAAAGUCCAGUACAAAAGUAGUACCAUGGCAGUCCCUGCAGGGACUUGCAUCACUUUCCCUAGAGAUAUCAAGAGAAUUUUUAGUGAUAAGAAUAUGGCACAAAAUGAGAAAUCCCAUUACUCUUAAGAGAAUCUCUUCCUUCUCAAAGGCACCUGAUUAAUACAUAUAGUACUAUCAGUAAGGCUGAGCAAAAGGAUACUGAUGUUCUGAGUGAUCUUAAAUCAUGUAAUAAUAACUUUAUUCGUAGUAUAGAACGGAAUAUUCCCUAUUAGUAAUCAGUUCCUUUGCCAGAUCCUCAUAGUAUCUUAGUCACUGUUUUAUUGUUAUGAAGAGAAACUUUGACCACAGCACCUCUUAGAAAAAAGGAAGCAUUUAAUCGGGACUUCCUUAUGGUUUCACAGUUUUACAUAAUUGUCAACAUGGCAGAGAACAUGGGGGCACGCAAACAGACAUGGUGCUGGAGAAGUAGCGGAGAAUAUACAGCAACAUAUAGAUACAAAAUAUAGAUACAUAUAGAUACAGAAUAUAGAUACAUAUAGCUACAUAUAGAUCUGCAGGCAGCAGGAAGAGACUGGGACAAGGCCAUACCUUCUAAGGCUUCUCAAGGAGUGUCACUUCCUGAUGACCAAGCAUUCAAGUGUAUGAGCUUAUGGGAGCCAUUCUUAUUCAAGCCACCACACAUAGCAAAGCUGAUAAUGUCAUUUUCUGAAUUAACCAGGCCAAGGCACACUUCUUAGCAACAUGGUUACCUGGUAACCAGAGAUUUUUCUCAUCCCAUGAGAGAUUUCAUUCAAGAACUGAUCUUCUAACAGUUUUGUCUCUCUUAAGAAUGCUACAGACAGGGUGGGGUGAGGCACAGUGCUGAAGCCCCUCAAGUUUCCCAGAGGGAUGAGUCCAUGAAAGACGAAAAUCAUGUGGUCACACUGAGCAUAGACUUCACAAGCAUCAUGCUAGGAUUCCAUUUUCUUUCUCAACACAAUGAUAAAUUCUUCUUCCAAUAAGCAGAAAAUCAUCCAAUGGGAAAAAAAAAUAAAACCAACUAACUUGCAGUCCUUUGGAACAGUUUCAUAGCUUACAGGAUGGCUUCAUAACCCUGGGGACACUCGUUUUGACAUGAAAACUUCCUUCAGAACAGGAAUUCUGAUCCAACAUGUGCUCAGACAUCAUUUCAGUCACUUGCAAAUGAACAAGAAAGCUCAUGUAAAUGAGGAGGCUCAACUCCCAGGCCUGGUGAGUGGGUAAGACAUUCCUCUGCUGGGUUUUGAAGGCUGUCUGAAACCAUCGGCUGACAUCCUUCUCUGUGUGCAUGUAUGCACUAUCUACGGGAAAUUCAGCUCCAACCGGUUGUCUCUACAGCUCCCUUAAUCUUCUCCUCCCUCCUCCUGGCAUUGGCAUGUGUCCCAGGACUGCAGCGAGGAGUGCUUACCAACAAAGGUGCUGGCAUCUGCAUUUGUUUCACAGCCACAAACCUAAUGGUUCCAUGAUUUUGGCGAGCAAAACUGUCAAAAUGCCUGAGCACAAGAGAUCACAAGAUGAGCCAAGGCAUAGUGUGCAUGCCUUCCUUCCCAGCACUCGGAAGGCAGAGGCAAGGGGAUCUCUGUGGGUUCAAGGCCAGCCUGAAUCACAAGGUGUACUGGGGAUUCUUUUUUAUUGUUUUCCUUUUGCUAUCUGGAAUAGUUUGAGAUUGUAUUUGAUCAGUGCAUUAAACAAC